ACCUUCGGGCCUCUUGCCAUCGGAUGUGCCCAGAUGGGAUUAGCUAGUAGGUGGGGUAACGGCUCACCUAGGCGACGAUCCCUAGCUGGUCUGAGAGGAUGACCAGCCACACUGGAACUGAGACACGGUCCAGACUCCUACGGGAGGCAGCAGUGGGGAAUAUUGCACAAUGGGCGCAAGCCUGAUGCAGCCAUGCCGCGUGUAUGAAGAAGGCCUUCGGGUUGUAAAGUACUUUCAGCGGGGAGGAAGGGAGUAAAGUUAAUACCUUUGCUCAUUGACGUUACCCGCAGAAGAAGCACCGGCUAACUCCGUGCCAGCAGCCGCGGUAAUACGGAGGGUGCAAGCGUUAAUCGGAAUUACUGGGCGUAAAGCGCACGCAGGCGGUUUGUUAAGUCAGAUGUGAAAUCCCCGGGCUCAACCUGGGAACUGCAUCUGAUACUGGCAAGCUUGAGUCUCGUAGAGGGGGGUAGAAUUCCAGGUGUAGCGGUGAAAUGCGUAGAGAUCUGGA
rnacentral:rRNA from 1 species